GAUUCCAAACCUGUUCAAAGCAGUGAAUACUUUCCAACUAGUAUCAAAAAUACCUGGAUAAGUAUAGGAAGAUCCACCUUAAAAUAUAUAUUGCUAUCAGUUUGAUUAAACACUCCAGAAGAGGUAAAAUCCUUCCCUUAAUCCCCUACCAAACUAAAGUGACAACUAUUUCAUACAUUACAUGGAAAUUUACUGACAUUUACAGAGGUGCAGAAAGGUGCCUUUCAAAAAGCCACUCUUUUGCAUGUCAUUUCUCCUGUCAGAUCAGAAUACAUUAGAAUGUGGAAGAGGAUGAGGUAGAUCUACAGUGCUAGGUAUAAAAGAGAAUAAAAAGCUAGGUAUAAAAGAAAUUGAAGAAAUGGCAGAAUAAUUAAUAUGAACAUUAUCUGUAUUUAAUCUGGCUAGCCUAACACCUUAAUUAAUAAUUCAAUUUAAUUUCUUAUUCAGUGAUAUUUCUCAGGAAAUAUUUAUUCUGAACAUGCUAAAAUCUGCCACCUACACAACUUCAGCUAAACCAAUAUCAAGAAUAAAAAUAUUCCAUUCUCUCAUAGAGGGUUAGCAACACAGGCUGUUAUUAAGCUUGCCUGGCACUUUGCAUUAUAAGACUCUGCUUCCAAUUACUUAUAACUGUGUUAGACUCUCAUUCUCAUGGUUGCCUGCCAGGUGAUACUUCAAGAUGACAUUUGGAAAGUUUCAUUCAAAACACUCAAUUAUGAAAUUAAGACAGGGAAAGAAGAUUUCCGUCACUGAAAGUUUUGCAGGAAUAUUGUUCCAAGAAGUCCUUUUAAAUUAAAACUUCAGUUAGCAGAAAGUCUUUCAGUACUUGAGCAGAUCUGCAUACAAAGUUGAUGGAGUCAGUCUGACACUACUGGUCAUGUGCUACAGCAGUGACAGACCAUUUCUUAAAACAAUCUUUAGGCUGUCAGACCACAGAUUGCGCAGUCUGCCAUAGGAUUUUUAUUACAAUGGGGUAUUUUUUCUCCGCAGAGACCACAUUCCCAGACUAUUUAUACUGUUUUCAUUUUACAGUUAGAUGGCCUUCCGUGCACAGGUGAAAUGAGAGCAGUCCAGAUGAACUGACUGGGCAAUAGCUCUUUCUAAAAUCAAACACUAGUUGUUUGGUUUUCAGAUGUGUCCCUUUCCUCAGGGCCACUGCAGGGUUCUGGCCCAACAUUUGCAGUUGAGAAGUACAAACAUCAUUGCUAAGCAACCCAAAUUACCUCAUAAACAGUUGCAUAUGAACCUGGUCAACAGGGAACAUUGUGGCAUGUUUUCAUGGUACAUAUGCACACACGGCAGAUGCUCAGAUGCCCUGCAUGCCUCUUUUAUCAGUCAGCCCACACUGGCCUUUUGGAAAGCAUAGAGCACCAGCAAGGAGUGGCUGUCCUUGCCUGCCCACCAUGGACUUUAGGAGUGCAAGAACAAAAGUGUGUUCAGCGGAUAAAGAGCUGAGAGGAAAGAACCUGAACUCUUUGGUGGGAAAUGUACACACUGAUAGUGCUGUUUCAGCUUGCAACCAACCAGAAAAGGGGGGGAGGGGUAUGUGCUAAAACUGGAAAACCCAUGGGGAAAGAAGUGUAAAGUCAAUUUACAAGCCUCCCUUUUUCAUGUUGCUCCUUGAAGUUAUAGGUUUUCUGGUCUUUACAUCAUUUUAAUGUACUUGGUAAUGACUACACACAUGAUUUUCAAUAAUCAAAUAAAAAAUCCAUGCCAGAGGAAAAGUUAUUUAAAAGCUUAUUAAAGCAAUACUGGCCUUACCUAAUAAUUGUAACUUUUAAUUUCUUCAUUUACUCUGUCCCUAACAUUUUAUGUUUUGAUUUAUGUGGGAUUUUUACACUGCUUUCAGCUGCUUUUCAGUAUAUGCAAAGCUCAAUCAUUCUCUCACACCACAGGCUCUGUUACACCAACAUCCCUAUUCAGAUGCACUCAAUGACAAUGCCAUCCUAUGGCUGGCAUUUGUAGUGCUCUCAGAACCACAGUACAGUGCUUAGCUUGAAACUAAAUUAAUUUCAUGAAGGAAAGAACAUGUGGUAGAUGUGAUUGUAAGUGUAAGCAGAAGCUGGAAACAAAUUGUUUAACAAGUCUCCACAAUCUCAUUUUAAAGGAACCAACAGAUGUUAAAACAGUCCGAUACCUAAUAUUGAUUUGUUUUCCAGAUGGUUCUUACUUAACUGUGUCUUAUGAUACAUCAGUGAGUCACCAAUAUAUUAUUUAUGAAAGCAGGAUGCAUUUAAGUUAUCUUUAGAAUGCAAGAGUACCUUACUAGAAAUAUAAUAUUUAGCAGCUUGUGCAAGGAAUACAGAGUAGAGCAAUUACUGCUUAUAGGCCUUAUUUUUACAAGGUAGAAAAGAGGGUAGUCAUUUAUAUGCUUGUGUAGAGAGAGCAAAACACUGCUAGAGCAAAGAUUGUGCUUUAUCUACACUGGUGUUUGCGGCUAAAGAAAGUGCACACAUUAAUCUUUAUUUUUUUAGUUUAGAAAUGAUUAAUAAUGAGACAAGGUCUCUGAGUCAUAGAACAACCAAAGAGAUAUGGCACAUGGUGAAUUAUAAUACAACAUUAAUGUGCAUUACAGGAAAACCAUGCAAUUCUGGGCAUUUCUGUUACAGGAUGCUUAACAGUGACCUGCGGUGAUUUGCAAUGUCUCAUGACCUGAUAGAUGGAACCACUACACAAACUGAGCUGGACAAAUUAUUCUUGUGUUCUUCCCAUGUCAACUGCAAAUCUGGCAGGAUGCUGCAUGUUUUGAAAUAUAUUUUAAUGCAACAUGAAAUACAUUAACCAUGGAAAGACGUGUGUAAUUCUGCCAGUGUACUUCAAGAGUUACAGGGAGUUGAAACUCUUCAAAAAUAGUCUCCCAGUAAAACAACCUUGUAGUAAGGCACAAGAUCAAGGGUUAAAUAAGGGGAAAUUGGUCCAAAGUGUCUUCCUAUAUGACAUACUAUGACUGAAGAUGAGUGGGAAGAAGGAAAAGUUGGUUAAUUCUUUUUCAUUGUCAGUGAUGAAAUAAAAUCUGAGAGAAGAGCAGUCUUGCAGGAAACAUUUCUAUAACUUAAAAUCUCUAGCAAUGCUCGGCAAUAUGAUUUUAUCUUCCUGUAUUUGAACUCUACAGAGCUGGCAGGGAUUAUUCUGUGUUGGGGGGCAACAUUUCUACCUUUAAGCUGCAUCUUGUUACUUGGAGGAGUGUGAGUCUGAAUAAGUGCUGGUCUGGUGUGCAUUGUAUGGGAAUGGUGCAAUUGUAUCUUUCCUUCUAAGUGGUUACCUCUGACAAGACUAAAGAAAAAUUUAAUCCUCAGUGUCACCAGAUCAUAUUCCUCCCUAUAUAUUUCUAUUAAGAUUAUUAAAUUUGUGUAAAGGAGGGUUAAAUAUAUCUUCUCUUGGCUUCUGUCAAGUAGUUCCUGUUACUGAAAAGAUUUAGAGCUGCAUAUAUUUGAUAAAACAGACAGUUAUUGAAAAUUAUUGCUGUUUAGUAAAUUCCAGUAUGAAUUAUUCACUAAUAUAGUACGUAUGGAAAGUAACUUUACAUACUGCAUCCAUUGACCAAGACAGUAUGCAAUCAAUCUUACAAGAGUAAAAUUUGUUAUUCAUUUAAGGAGCCACCAGAGCUGUGAUUUUAUGAUAAUAUAUGAAAUUGUAAUCCUUUAAAGUGGUGCCUUCAAAAAUUAAGUCAUUCUGUACAACUAUCUGGUCACAGUAUGUUGCUAGCAAAUGUGUACCAUGUUGUUUUCAGUUUGUAACAUUUGCCAAACUUUAACUUUGGUCUGGCACAGUCCAGUAAGAUUUAGAGGGAUGUUGCUUUCUUUUCAAAUUAGUCACAAUAAUGUAUCUGCUCUUGAGAACAAGGCAAGACAAAAGUAUAUAUUUUCACACAUGAAGAAAUCUGUAUCUAGAAUUCAAAAAUGGAUCAGAAAUUAGUCCCAGAAACCUUUGCAUUAGGAACAGAAUUUUGAAAAGCAGCCCACACCUGUCCUAGUUACAAACUACUCAAAAAUGUAUAUCUCAUAUAUUCUCUAACUGCCAGAGCUACGCAUAAAUUGUCCAAGUAUUUAAUAUCACCAGAUGUACUGUAAGGGCAAAAACCUCAUAAUAAAUUUCUCAGAUUCCGAACUCUUGGUGCUACCGCCUGUUCUGACUCCAGGGAGACUAAUGGGAGCAGGGACUUUUCCCCAAGGGCACUUCUCACCUUUUCCAACAAGAUUUAGAAUGUCAUUGAAGGAUGCUGCCUUAGAGAACCAUAGAUGGGAUAUGAUAAGGAACUGGGUAAAGGAGCAACUUGAAACUGGAGAAACAGCUGUGGCUUCUGCAUGUGAGAACUUCUAGAUAAAGGCCUUUUGAGGAGGAAGAGGAACCAAUUUUAAAAAUGACGUCUCCCACUUCUUUCAUAUGAAUGAAUGAAGAACUUAUUGUUCAAAAUUUGUAUGUUCUCCUUGAAGGAAAGAGAUAUAUAUAUUCAUACAUUCUGUGAAAUAUUAUUGUAACUUUCUCAUGUCCAGUUCUCUAGCCAUUUUUGGAAAUAGAAAGAAAAAUAUGUUUGGGUGACAUUUACUUGACACGCACAAAGAGAUAAAACAUAAGUUGCUACUAAGUAGGGGACUGUCAUAGCUCCUUCAGGGUUGAAUCUGCGAAUGUGCUAGGCUUUGUGCAAAUGUGUGUACUGAGAAGGGAGAGAGCAAGGCUCACAACAUUUGCUGUGAGACUUCACGAAAUAAUGCAGUGGAUUAGAUUCAUGAUUCGACUCCAUGAUAACCUUUAUGUAUGACAUGAAAAAAGCAUGAUAUUGCAUGAAAGGUAUAAAGUACUGAGACCUCAGCUUUAAAACAGGCACUGGAUAAAGAUACAAGUGUACCUACUGCAAAGAUGCUUUGAAUUAAGUGUCUGGUAUGGGUGUUUUGUUAUAAUUAAUAUAAUUUUAGCUUACAGUAGAUAUCAUCUUCAUACUGAUGUACCUUAUUGCCAAUAUAUAGCUUAUUACUAUGUAAGUUUUGCAUUCAUGCUACAAAGUUUACUGAGUUUUUGAAAAGGCAGGAAUCUUCUGAGGAUAAUAUAAAUAAGAUCUUCCAACUCUGACUCUGAACGGUUAGUUUUGCGACAUCCAUUCUCAUAUUUUAGGUGUGCUUGAUGAAGCUGAAUGAUACUGAAUAAACUGCUGAUCUUU